GGUGAACACGUAGUACAUCACGCUCUGGCCCGCCAUGAAGUGCUGCUCCGCCGUCUCCAGGAAGCGCUCCAGCUUGAGAGAGGCUGUGCAACUCACCCACAGCAGCCGCGAUCUGGGCCUCCUCCUAUGUUCCCCUGUUCAGACCCCUGCUCCAUGAACUGGGCGGACCCAUGUCCACUAAAGUGCUGAGGAAGUGACAGCGUGUGAUUUCUGAGGCUAGAUCAUAAAGGGCACAGCAGUUCUCACCUCACUCUUCUGCCUGGGUUACUGCAGAGUAAGCCAGCUACCAGUAAGCCACCCCAGCAACCCUUUGGAGAGGCAUGCGUGGAGAGCAGCCAAGGCCCUGGUGGUCCCCGGCCUCCUUGCCGUGUGAGUGAACCGUGCUGGAAGUGGGUUUUCUGGCUCCAGACCUCAGACACUGCAGCCUGUAUGGCGUCUUCCCUGAGACCUCAUAUGACCUCAAACUCAUACACUGGGUCUGUGGAAGGGAGCAGAUAACCUCUCUGUUUCUAGUUCUUAGACUAAGAGGAACUGGACACCAGGAGCCUCAUACCAGGACUGCCCAGCCGAGCCACUCGAUUCCUGACCCACAUGGCCCUUGAGAUGACAAGUGAUUGCUGCUUAAAGUCACUGAGUUCUGGAAUAAUUUACAUCAUGGCAAUAGGUAACUAAUGCAGAUUCUGGUACCUGGAAAAGGAGUGCUGACAUCAAACAGCUCUAUAGAUGUGGGCGUGGCCUCAGAACUGGCCACAGGCAGGAGCCAGAAGGACUCUGUGGAAAGCGUGAGUGUC
rnacentral:lncRNA from 10 species